rnacentral:rRNA from 1 species
UACAGGAGGGAUGAGUGUUGAGCGUUUGAACUGGGCCUAAAGCGCGGGUCGGUGGGUAUGAAAACCAGCAAACAGGCCCUUGAAGGUUCAAGGCGUUUUUGAUUGAAAAUCAUACCUCGAGUUCAUUCAAGGUUGACAGAAUGGCCCAAGGACCAGUAGAAUGGAAAGAUAUGGGUUGGAAUAACGAAAGCGAAGGCAGUCAUCUGAUAUGAAACCGACACCCAGCCGCGGAAGCGUGGGGAUUCAAUGGG